rnacentral:rRNA from 1 species
CCUACGGGGCGCAGCAGUGGGGAAUCUUCCGCAAUGGGCGAAAGCCUGACGGAGCAACGCCGCGUGAUCGAAUGAAGGCCUUCGGGUUGUAAAGAUCUGUUGACAGGGACGAAUAAGCAAUGCGAAUAGUUUUGUGUAUGACGGUACCUGUUUAGAAAGCUCCGGCUAACUACGUGCCAGCAGCCGCGGUAAUACGUAGGUGGCAAGCGUUAUCCGGAUUUAUUGGGUGUAAAGGGCGUGUAGGCGGGAGCGCAAGUCAGAUGUGAAAACUCAGGGCUCAACCCUGAGCCUGCAUUUGAAACUGU